rnacentral:rRNA from 1 species
GACGAACGCUGGCGGCGUGCUUAACACAUGCAAGUCGAACGAGACGAUUGAAAGCUUGCUUUCGAAAGUCGAGUGGCAAACGGGUGAGUAACGCGUAGACAACCUGCCUUUGAGAUGGGGACAACAGUUCGAAAGGACUGCUAAUACCGAAUGUUGUAUAUUUUCCACAUGGAAGAUAUAUUAAAGAUGGCCUCUAUUUAUAAGCUAUCGCUCAAAGAUGGGUCUGCGUCUGAUUAGCUAGUUGGUGGGGUAACGGCCUACCAAGGCGACGAUCAGUAGCCGGUCUGAGAGGAUGAACGGCCACAUUGGGACUGAGACACGGCCCAGACUCCUACGGGAGGCAGCAGUGGGGAAUCUUCCACAAUGGACGAAAGUCUGAUGGAGCAACGCCGCGUGAGUGAAGAAGGGUUUCGGAUCGUAAAGCUCUGUUGUUUGAGACGAAUGUGCCUGUUUCGAAUAGGGAUAGGUAAUGACGGUAUUAAACGAGAAAGCCACGGCUAACUACGUGCCAGCCGCCGCAGUAA